rnacentral:rRNA from 1 species
UGGGGAAUAUUGGACAAUGGGCGCAAGCCUGAUCCAGCCAUGCCGCGUGAGUGAUGAAGGCCCUAGGGUUGUAAAGCUCUUUCACCGGUGAAGAUAAUGACGGUAACCGGAGAAGAAGCCCCGGCUAACUUCGUGCCAGCAGCCGCGGUAAUACGAAGGGGGCUAGCGUUGUUCGGAUUUACUGGGCGUAAAGCGCACGUAGGCGGACUUUUAAGUCAGGGGUGAAAUCCCGGGGCUCAACCCCGGAACUGCCUUUGAUACUGGAAGUCUUGAGUAUGGUAGAGGUGGGUGGAAUUCCGAGUGUAGAGGUGAAAUUCGGAGAUAUUCGGAGGAACACCAGUGGCGAAGGCGGCUCACUGGACCAUUACUGACGCUGGGGUGCGAAAGCGUGGGGAGCAAACAGG